UGUCACAGGGAUCCGAGGCCUGCGGAGAGAGAGCAAGAAGGGCCAUCAUGCUCAGGAGGGAUGAGAAAGCCACAGCAGAGAGCCUGAGAGGGCGCAGGGCAGCCCCUGGGGCCCCUCCCAACAGGCAGGGCCUGUGUUUAAGGUGUUGCCAGGCAACUUGCCACAUGGGGCUGGAGGCUGUGGUUGGGGCAUCAGCAGUAGCGAUGGAGAAGCAGAGCCCAACACUUGGGUGUGACGGGGUUCCAGCUCAGUUGUGGGCUUUUUGGACAGCCGGAUCUGGAGACAAGUCCUGGGUCUGCUACUGACGGUGUGACACUCUGAUUAAGUCAUUUCCCCCAUCGUGACACUUCAUUUCCUCAUCUGUAAAGUGGGAGUAAUAAUAUCUGUUUCAUAAGAUCGCAAAAAAGAAACUGAGGCUUGUUGAGGUAACGGGAACCACUAGGACUGGCCCCCAGGUCUCUGGCUGUGAAAACAACGCUCUUCCCACUUCACCAGGAAAGAGGCUUCACUUUGUGACUGACCAGUGAAGGAGGCAGGACCCUCUAUGUCAUGGGGAAAAGCGCACAUUCAAUCCCAGAAAACAGGCCCAGAGAGUGUCUUUGGGGCAGCACAGAGGAGAGGAGCUAAAGAGCCGUGUUCGCUGUCGGCAGCCAGAUUUUGCGGGAGAAGUGCCCAGCCCCACAAGUGGACAGUGAAGGCGGUAAAGAAGAAAAGAAGCAGCUGGAACUACGCAGGGCCUGAGGCAAGAAAAAGAAACUGAGGCUUGUUGAGGUAACGGGAACCACUAGGACUGGCCCCCAGGUCUCUGGCUGUGAAAACAACGCUCUUCCCACUUCACCAGGAAAGAGGCUUCACUUUGUGACUGACCAGUGAAGGAGGCAGGACCCUCUAUGUCAUGGGGAAAAGCGCACAUUCAAUCCCAGAAAACAGGCCCAGAGAGUGUCUUUGGGGCAGCACAGAGGAGAGGAGCUAAAGAGCCGUGUUCGCUGUCGGCAGCCAGAUUUUGCGGGAGAAGUGCCCAGCCCCACAAGUGGACAGUGAAGGCGGUAAAGAAGAAAAGAAGCAGCUGGAACUACGCAGGGCCUGAGGCAAGGUGAAGAUGAGGGAAAGGCUGGGGAUUACCAGUCAGAAGGCCAGUGAGAGAGCAGACAGCUGUUGGUGGAGGCCUGUUAGGUUUAAGGCAGCAAAUCUUCCCUAACCCUGUCUCUGCCCGUACAUCCACUUCCAGGAAACAGCACCAUUAUUCACCUUAGUUGCCCAAGCCCGAAGCCAGGGGGCGAUCCUAGGUUCUUACCCAUCUAUGCCCAGUCAGUGAAUCCUGUUGAUUGUAUCUUUCUAACCUCUUUCAAAAUCCACUUGCUUCAUGCAUCUCCUUUCUUGGGGCUUUCAUUCUCUCCCACCUGGAUCACUAAAACAACAUCUCAACAACCACCACCUCUGCAGCCAGCCCCAUUCCUUUCCCGCAGAGCUGUCAAUUCAGGCGUUCCUAACAUGUUAAUCUGAUUUCGGGUAAAACCCUUCCAAGGUCUCCUGUGGCCUGAAGCCCUGAUUCUCCCCCUGGAGGCACCUUAGAAUCACCCAGGGAGUUUUCAAGACCAUCUGGACUCACCAAGUCCUCAUAUCCUGAGAAUCAGAUGAAACUGGUUUGGCAUAGGGCACAGAUUUUUAGUUUUUAAAGCCGCCCAAGGUGAUUCUAAUGUGCAGCCAGGGUUGAGAACCGCUGGCCUCCAGGAUGUAAAGUGCAGGUUCCUCUGUGUGGUGUGCAGGAACUCCACGUCAUUCCAUUUCUCAGCAAAUAUUUACUGAGCGCCUGCUGUGUACCAGACACCUCACUGGCCCCGAGUCUAAGCGAAGAACAACAUUAAGGCCCCUCAUGAAGCCGCUUGUCCAUCUGGCUCCUAGUAUUUAAGCCUCGUUUCUGCCUCCUCACACCUCCUGUCUUUGAUCUAGUCAUCAAGACCAAUUUGGGAUUCCCCAAACGUGCCCUGCUGUAGGCUCAGGGCCUAUGACUAUGCCACUCUUUCAACCCCAAAUUCCAGCCCUCAGCCUCCUGGUCUAGUUAAGACUCAGCCUGAGGACCACUUCCUCUGAAAAGGCUCUGCCUGACCCCACCCCCAGAUCUGCCCUGAUUAUCCUCGUACUCGUCACUGUGGUCACUGUCCAUUUCACGGUCGGGCGCCCUCGGGAGACUGCGAGCUCCUUGAGGGGAGGGACAGUGAGUGAACCGUCUCCGUAUCCCUGAUGGGGGUGCUGACUGCCUGGGGAAUCCGCAUGGGAGUGAACUCGAAUGACCCACAUAUUCACAUAGGGCAAACUUGGUGUGAAUAAGGUACGAACAGACUGGAAACUAGUUAGAGGAGGACUGCAGCUCCAGAAGCUUCAAGAAGCCAGGCUCUGGACAGGAGGUUCAAAGACAGACAGCCCUAUCACCAGCAGGGAGGCAGAGAGAGACACACAGUAUCAGAACUGAGUAAGACAGUAGGGGCAGCCUGUUGCCUUUGAAGAGGUGGCCUUGUGUGGUGGAAAUAACAUGAUCUGCGGUCUAAUUUGUAUGUUCCAA